AGAUGAAGAGCUUGCUCUUCAAAUCGAGUGGCGAACGGGUGAGUAACGCGUGAGGAACCUGCCUCAAAGAGGGGGACAACAGUUGGAAACGACUGCUAAUACCGCGUAAGACCACAGCUUCACAUGGAGCGGGGGUCAAAGGAGCAAUCCGGAUAAAGAUGGGCUCGCGUCCGAUUAGCUAGUUGGUGAGGUAAUGGCCCACCAAGGCGACGAUCGGUAGCCGGACUGAGAGGUUGAACGGCCACAUUGGGACUGAGACACGGCCCAGACUCC
rnacentral:rRNA from 1 species